CGGCGCGAGGUCUCGGGGUCGGUUAUUCCUCGCGUCUAUCUCUUCCGUGUGUCCGCUGUCCGCAGGUAAAGGUACCAAAGGCGGCACUCUCUCCGCCGCCGCUACCUCCCCAGAUGCCCACACCCUCUCCCCAAUCUGCCCGCACCACAUCCCGGCGAGCACGCACCACCACACCACCGCAUAUGCACAUCUUCCUAUCGACGCUAGAAGAGCGGCAGCGAGGAAUAUCGGGAUGGGCAGAGGCCGAUUGGAGGUGCAGCGGUUGCCCCAAUGCCCUAUCUAAGGCCGCACGGUCGCCACCACAACCUCUGGAGAGGCCUCCUCGGCUGCGCGCUUUCGUCGGCAGCUGUUCAGGUUGGAGGUGUAUGGAGAACAAACUGGCGGUGGAGACCGAAGUCGAGGCGUCGAGCUCUAGAUUGGUGUCAUCGAAAGGCUAGAGGAAUAAGGGGAGUAUUCCCGCACCGAGGAGUGUAGGGGACAGACCAAUUUCUGAGUGCAGCCCCCGACCAGCGGGCACCCCGUCCACUGACAAUCAUUGGAGGAGCUCAGCUAAGAGCGUCCCGGAGGAGCAAAGUGAGGCGUGUGGACGCGCACGCGGUCCAUGCUUGUGGUGCAUACAGUGAUUCUUCCACAACAUUACAACCUAAAUAAGUCAAGGUCUAGAGAUAAAUAAAUCCUAUGAGCAGAGUGACCAGUUAACGCAGUCCUACAGAAAAAAGUGCAAGUACUACUAGCCAACUAGCUAAAUGUGCCCAGGUUCAGAUCUCCUAACAUUCUUCUUAAUUUCUCUCAAGAAAGUAGUAAUAAGUGCAAUGCAGGAUUGGCUAGAGCUACUUUUUGUUUGGCUACAUCUCCUUUUCAUGACAAAAAAAUUCCCUCGGUUGCACCUGCAUUCUGCAAUAUUAACACACCACAUGUUUUAGAAAAAAGACAUCAGUUUUGUUGAAAAUAACCACUCCUUUUCUCUUAACUGUUUAGUUUCUGUGUUCUGCUCAUCAGUUCCCUUGUGUCUUGGUUCAUUCUUCGUCCAUGGUUGCAGCAUUCGGUUUGGAUUUCUUCCACCAAUUCAGGUUUUGCAAGAAGCCGAGAGGCCUGUUUUGAGUGGGUGUGCUGCAAAUCUUUCACACAAGGUGAUGGUUUUAACAACCGGCGGGAGGUGUCAUGAGGCAAGGGCUUGCAUGAGUCUCGAAUUUGGAUGGAGAAAGCAUCAAGAUAUUGCUCUACAGUUUGAAAAGCUAGCAAUGAACGCCCAUGUUAGCUAUACCUGCCUACAUUGCAAGGGGUACAAUGCUAGCGACUCAGACACAAAUGGUAUUAAGGAAACAGUCAAAUAAUGGAUAUUUCCGAGCUAAUGCGAUUACUGGCAGGGGUGUGUAGUGACUACACAGCAAGCUGAGGGGACACAAACUAUUCAAAUAUGCAGUUGUAUCAUGAAAAUUGUUUUGGGCCUGGUUUCAGAGUCUUGCUCCGUACCAAGGAAUGCAUGGAGACCUUGGCAUUGCUAUGUGUGUGUAAGCUUCAGUAAUCGUUGGGCAUUAAUCUCGACCACAUAUGUUGGUCUCCUGCCGCACUAUGGGUCCUUAAGCUAGAUUUGUAGAAGUGUCUAUUGUUGCGUGACAUGUAGGUUGCCUGUAAGGUUCUGGGUUUGGCUGUAAAUAUUAGUAACUUAUGAUUUCCCAGUUUUUUUUUUUUUUUUUUUUUGCAUUUUGAGUGCCUGAAGGAGAUGAUUCCAGUGUUCUAUUAACUGAAAGUUAAAUCUGGUUCUCCUAUAGCGACAACACACGAGGAAAGAAUGCAGCGGCGGCAUUUGGGGUCCUGACUUGCAGACUAAGGUUCAGAAAGGAGUUUGCGCGUCAUUGUCUAUAUGUUGGGUAUUCCUAUCUUAGUUUCUUGACUGAUGUAAGAUUUUCUCGGGCCCAAUCACUUUGAACCAUGAAUGGAAAAUCUCAAACUGUUAUUGUUUU